UGGUAGUUUGUUGGUGUGAAUAUGCUA
rnacentral:piRNA from 1 species